AAAAAAAUUAAAAAAAAAAAUAAAGGGCAAGAACUGAAAAUACUGAAAUUUAUAGCAAGAGACUCAGAUUCUCAUACAUCUGUGGAGAGAGCACAAACAUAGAAAUACAUAUAAUUAAGGUAAUAAUUCCCUCUAGGGGAACCCAAUUAAAUGGGCUCUCUAACACCCAUUUUUAUUUUAUUCUGCCAAUAUCAUUUAUUCUGACUUCUGAUCUCCACUCCAUGCAUGUCCUUCCUCCAACGUUUCACUUUACCCUGCAACACAGCAACCAUAAGCCAAAGAAUCAAUACAAGAAUUUAAUUUAAAUUGAAGGUUACGAGUUCGAGUGAUGAAAACAGUCUUUCUUUAAAGCUGACUGUGCAUCAACUCUCUCUAGAACUCACAAGUAUGAAAUAUUUCAUGCAUUGAGUCACUUUUUUAAUAGCGAAUACUUACUUGGAGCAGUCGAUGUUGGGGCUGAUAGUGAAGGGAAGGCUAACACCACAUUUGCCAGCAAGCCCAGAAGCCAAACUAUAGUUAAGACCAGGAACGUUAGCAGCAGAGCUUUUCAAGCACUUGCAAGCAUCUUGGCGAUCAGGAGUGGUCUUAGCCUCUGAAUUAAGGGCCUUAACUCCACUGCAGCAGUCUGAAGACAAAGUUCCAGUACCUCUCAGGUAGCUUAUACAUGGUGCUAACUUGGUAGUCACAUCCCCACAUGUAAUGGCUGCAUAGGCUAAGGGUUCACCCACUACCAGGCACAUAAGCAACACACAAGCCAACUUAGUAGCCAUUGAACAAGCCAUAAUUAAUGGCUAAUUGAGGAAAGAGCAAGUAUUGUACGAAGAAGUUUUCAAAAGGGAUUGGAUUUUUUUUGUAGAGAUAUUGAGAGAUGAAGCUGAGUGAGUCCUAAUGCUUAGAAGAAUGGUGUUUAUAUAGGCGAAUGGGUUACAUUUUUUCACCUAGCCUUUUUUGGGUUUUUAUUUAUCACCCCACCUUGAAUUUGAUGGAGAAUCAUGGAAAUGAUAGUUUUAAAUCAUAGCCGUCGGUGGCAUUGCAGCCAUUGUCCAUUGGGAUAAAGUGGCUGGCAAGAAAAAGUGGUUAUGAUGUGAGUGAGAGAAUAAU
rnacentral:misc_RNA from 1 species